CGCGUAGGCGGCCCGUUAAGUGGCUGGUGAAAUCCCGCGGCUCAACUGCGGGGCUGCCGGUCAGACUGGCGAGCUAGAGCACGGUAGGGGCAGAUGGAAUUCCCGGUGUAGCGGUGGAAUGCGUAGAGAUCGGGAAGAAUACCAGUGGCGAAGGCGUUCUGCUGGGCCGUUGCUGACGCUGAGGCGCGACAGCGUGGGGAGCAAACA
rnacentral:rRNA from 1 species